GACGAACGCUGGCGGCGUGCUUAACACAUGCAAGUCGAACGGAAAGGCCCUGCUUUUGUGGGGUGCUCGAGUGGCGAACGGGUGAGUAACACGUGAGUAACCUGCCCUUGACUUUGGGAUAACUUCAGGAAAUUGGGGCUAAUACCGGAUAGGAGCUCCUGCUGCAUGGUGGGGGUUGGAAAGUUUCGGCGGUUGGGGAUGGACUCGCGGCUUAUCAGCUUGUUGGUGGGGUAGUGGCUUACCAAGGCUUUGACGGGUAGCCGGCCUGAGAGGGUGACCGGCCACAUUGGGACUGAGAUACGGCCCGGACUCCUACGGGAGGCAGCAGUGGGGAAUAUUGCACAAUGGGCGGAAGCCUGAUGCAGCAACGCCGCGUGCGGGAUGACGGCCUUCGGGUUGUAAACCGCUUUCGCCUGUGACGAAGCGUGAGUGACGGUAAUGGGUAAAGAAGCACCGGCUAACUACGUG
rnacentral:rRNA from 1 species